AGCAGCAUGGCGCAGUUGGAAGCGCGCGGGGCCCAUAUCGAGACAGACGUAGAAAGCUGGAUGUUGAACCCCGAGGUCACUUGAUCGAAACAAGUUGCUGCUA